rnacentral:rRNA from 1 species
GGGGAAUAUUGGACAAUGGGCGCAAGCCUGAUCCAGCCAUGCCGCGUGAGUGAUGAAGGCCCUAGGGUUGUAAAGCUCUUUCGCCAGGGACGAUAAUGACGGUACCUGGAUAAGAAGCCCCGGCUAACUUCGUGCCAGCAGCCGCGGUAAUACGAAGGGGGCUAGCGUUGUUCGGAAUCACUGGGCGUAAAGCGCACGUAGGCGGAUCUUUAAGUCAGGGGUGAAAUCCCGAGGCUCAACCUCGGAACUGCCUUUGAUACUGGGGAUCUCGAGUCCGGGAGAGGUGAGUGGAACUGCGAGUGUAGAGGUGAAAUUCGUAGAUAUUCGCAAGAACACCAGUGGCGAAGGCGGCUCACUGGCCCGGAACUGACGCUGAGGUGCGAAAGCGUGGGGAGCAAAC